AGUGAACGCUGGCGGUAGGCCUAACACAUGCAAGUCGAACGGCAGCACAGUAAGAGCUUGCUCUUACGGGUGGCGAGUGGCGGACGGGUGAGGAAUACAUCGGAAUCUACUUUUUCGUGGGGGAUAACGUAGGGAAACUUACGCUAAUACCGCAUACGACCUACGGGUGAAGGCAGGGGAUCUUCGGACCUUGCGCGAUUGAAUGAGCCGAUGUCGGAUUAGCUAGUUGGCGGGGUAAAGGCCCACCAAGGCGACGAUCCGUAGCUGGUCUGAGAGGAUGAUCAGCCACACUGGAACUGAGACACGGUCCAGACUCCUACGGGAGGCAGCAGUGGGGAAUAUUGGACAAUGGGCGCAAGCCUGAUCCAGCCAUACCGCGUGGGUGAAGAAGGCUUUCGGGUUGUAAAGCCCUUUUGUUGGGAAAGAAAAGCAGCAGGUUAAUACCCCGCCGUUCUGACGGUACCCAAAGAAUAAGCACCGGCUAACUUCGUG
rnacentral:rRNA from 1 species